GUUACAUACCCUCAAGCCCUACCCUACACCCACAGUUGAAAGAGAUACGCCAACCAACAAUAUCACAGAACCCCCAAAAUGGUUCGCUCACAGAGAAACACAUGGAACCGGAAGAAAUCCGGCAAGUGUGAGAGAGGAAGAGUGAUGCAGCAGAGAUCCACAUGUGGAAACGAUGGUGGUACCGGGGUUUCCGGUCACCGCAGCGGCAAUCAACAGUGGUGGCUAGGGUUUCGAUUGCGGUUUCAGGAGGGAUCAGCGGAACGCGAUAAUGAUGAAGAUGGCCGGCGAAAUACCUAGGGUUUCGGCUAAGUUCCGGCAGAAGGAUUAAAGCUUACAUGUUUCAUUUUCAAGUAGAUCGGUGACGAAUUCGUCUGCAUGUGUGUUUCUCCGAUUAGUAAGGUAUAACCCAUCUACCUCACCCAAUCAAUCUCAUCACAACAUCUCUGCCUCUGUCCCCGGCGACAUCUGACGACCAAAGGUGCACGCUACCAAACUCCACAGAUGAAGAAAGUGACGAACUCUCAGACCAUUGAUCAUAUGGACAGAGACAACAAUUAGCCACUUAAUCUGUUUGUUUGUUCUUUCGAUUGAGUGGUUAAUUAGUGUAUAAAAAGAUGCUAGCCGAUAACGGAUUUGAUUUUUAUAGGCCCUGGUUGUUCAUUGGUUGUAGAAAGGGCGUUUAUGAAGUACCCUCCGUUUAAACCAAGUGGUAAGUUUUGGUGGAGAAUGAUUAUAGCUGGAAUAAGGCUAUGACAUUGACUUUUGGGACAUCAAAGAUUGGGGUUCAUGAAAACCGAUAUGCCAGAGCAUCUGACAUAUCGAAUUGAGGCACAGGUUCUAUAAGUUUUUUAAGGUGGUUUGUUGAGGGUUUAUAUGAUUUAAUUGCUAAAUUUGGAUACUACAUGGUCUAUUGCUGCAGUUUUGUUAUCCUAUACUGUGAAGUUUUCACUUGUAGUCUUUUUUAGCUUUUGAUCUAACCAGAAAUAUAUAUUGUAAAGAUAAAAAAAAUCCUAUAUCAUGUUAUGUUAUUGCUGAAGUUUUAUGGUAGGUAGAUAAGAAGAUUAAUGGUCAAAACUGGGAUAAAAAAUAAAUUCAAAUAUAAACAUUGUUCAAAAAUUUGAAUUUUAUGGACAUAUGUUAAGAGAGUCUGACAAAUAUAUACUCAAAAUGUUUAUUCAUGUGUUUUCCCUAGGAUUAUUAAGUUUGUUAUUAUUUGUAAAAAUUACGUGUUAAUUCGGAUUGAUAAACAGAGUAUUAGUGGGGAAAGGAAUGAUGGAAUUAAGAUAACUGACGGAGAUUAAAGGUGAAGCGUAUGGGUGGUAGAGGAGGUUAAAGGCGAAGCGUACAAAUGCUGGAAGAGAUUAAAGGUGAAGCGUACAGGUGGGCAAAGAGUUGAAGUCAACUGAAUCAAGAGAUUGGGGCAAUUUCACAGGAGUGCGCUUUGGCUAAUACACCUGGGUUUCUUUUUUUCUUUUUUUUAUACUAUUUGGCUCUGUCUUUCGUUGUUUUGGUGUACUGCUAUCCUUAGCAGCUUGCUAAAGCUGGGUUAUUGUUUCCUGUGGUAAUAAAUUGGUUCUUUUGUCUGUCCAAAUA